AUGCACCUCAUAUCUGGUGAUCAGAUUGUUGACUCUAGCUGGAGGGUCAUCCUUGACUUUGAUUCGUGCUCUGUCCAGGAUGGUCGCACGGGCGCUCUACUUGGUGUUGGCCCUCGAUACUCUGAUGGUCUCUGGGAGCUUGACUGGCUACGUCUUCCUUCCGCUGCCCUCGCUGCCAGUUUCGCAGCCCCUGUUGCUGCAUCUACUAGCUCUUUUCAACAGUGGCAUCAUCGUCUUUGCCAUUUAUGUGGUUCUCGUCUCUCGGCUUUGGUUCAUCGCGGUGUUCUGGGGUCUGUCUCCGGUAAUGCUUCGUUGGAUUGUCUGGAUUGUAUGCUUGGUAAGCAGAUUCAACUACCCUAUUCUCACAGAGUCGGUGUCUGA
rnacentral:rRNA from 1 species